rnacentral:rRNA from 1 species
ACUCCUACGGGAGGCAGCAGUGAGGAAUAUUGGUCAAUGGAGGGAACUCUGAACCAGCCAUCCCGCGUGUAGGAAGACGGCCUUAUGGGUUGUAAACUACUUUUAUACAGGAAGAAACGUACCCUCGUGAGGGUGCCUGACGGUACUGUAGGAAUAAGCACCGGCUAACUCCGUGCCAGCAGCCGCGGUAAUACGGAGGGCGCAAGCGUUACUCGGAAUCACUGGGCGUAAAGAGCGUGUAGGCGGAUCGAUAAGUCAGGAGUGAAAUCCUAUGGCUCAACCAUAGAACUGCUCUUGAAACUGUCAAUCUAGAGUAUGGGAGAGGUAGAUGGAAUUUCUGGUGUAGGGGUAAAAUCCGUAGAGAUCAGAAGGAAUACCGAUUGCGAAGGCGAUCUACUGGAACAUAACUGACGCUGAGACGCGAAAGCGUGGGAGCAAACAGGAUUAGAUACCCUGGUAGGUGA